AGAGUUUGAUCCUGGCUCAGGAUGAACGCUGGCGGCAGGCUUAAUACAUGCAAGUUGAACGGUAACAUGUUGUAGCAAUACGAUGAUGACGAGUGGCGCACGGGUGCGUAACACGUGUGUAACCUACCUUAUACAGGAACAUAACGUUGAGAAAUCGGCGCUAACAUUCCAUAAUAUUAUUUGUAGGCAUCUAUGAAUAAUUAAAACUCCGGUGGUAUAAGAUGGGCACGCGUUCCAUUAGCUAGUUGGUAAGGUAACGGCUUACCAAGGCAACGAUGGAUAGGGGUUCUGAGAGGAUAAUCCCCCACACUGGAACUGAGACACGGUCCAGACUCCUACGGGAGGCAGCAGUAAGGAAUAUUGGGCAAUGGAGGCAACUCUGACCCAGCCAUGCCGCGUGCAGGAAGACGGCCCUAUGGGUUGUAAACUGCUUUUAAUAGGGAUUAAAGUCGACUACGUGUAGUUGUUUGCAAGUACCUAUAGAAUAAGCAUCGGCUAACUCCGUGCCAGCAGCCGCGGUAAUACGGAGGAUGCAAGCGUUAUCCGGAUUUAUUGGGUUUAAAGGGUGCGCAGGCGGAUUGAUAAGUCAGGGGUGAAAUCCCACAGCUCAACUGUGGAACUGCCUUUGAUACUGUUAGUCUUGAGUAUAGUUGAAGUGGGCGGAAUGUGUCAUGUAGCGGUGAAAUGCUUAGAUAUGACACAGAACACCGAUCGCGAAGGCAGCUCGCUAAGCUAUAACUGACGCUCAUGCACGAAAGCGUGGGGAUCAAACAGGAUUAGAUACCCUGGUAGUCCACGCU
rnacentral:rRNA from 1 species